GUGUCAGCAGCCGCGGUAAUACGUAGGGUGCGAGCGUUAAUCGGAAUUACUGGGCGUAAAGCGUGCGCAGGCGGCGCCGCAAGUCAGGCGUGAAAUCCCCGGGCUUAACCUGGGAAUGGCGCUUGAAACUACGGUGCUUGAGUGUGGCAGAGGGAGGUGGAAUUCCACGUGUAGCGGUGAAAUGCGUAGAGAUGUGGAGGAACACCGAUGGCGAAGGCAGCCUCCUGGGCCAACACUGACGCUCAUGCACGAAAGCGUGGGGAGCAAACAGGAUUAGAAACCCUAGUAGUCC
rnacentral:rRNA from 1 species